GUGCCAGCCGCGGCGGUAAUACGAAGGGUGCAAGCGUUACUCGGAAUUACUGGGCGUAAAGCGUGCGUAGGUGGUGGUUUAAGUCCGUUGUGAAAGCCCUGGGCUCAACCUGGGAAUUGCAGUGGAUACUGGGUCACUAGAGUGUGGUAGAGGGUAGCGGAAUUCCUGGUGUAGCAGUGAAAUGCGUAGAGAUCAGGAGGAACACCCGUGGCGAAGGCGGCUACCUGGACCAACACUGACACUGAGGCACGAAAGCGUGGGAGCAAACAGGAUUAGAUACCCUGGUAGUCCACGCCCUAAACGAUGCGAACUGGAUGUUGGUGCAAUUUGGCACGCAGUAUCGAAGCUAACGCGUUAAGUUCGCCGCCUGGGGAGUACGGUCGCAAGACUGAAACUCAAAGGAAUUGACGGGGCCCG
rnacentral:rRNA from 1 species